UUGACGGGUUCGCCAGGGAUGCCCCAGGGAUUAUCCUGAGAGUUCCUGGUAAAGAACCCCCGGCUAACUCCGUGCCAGCAGCCGCGGUAAUACGGAGGGGGUUAGCGUUGUUCGGAAUUACUGGGCGUAAAGCGUACGUAGGCGGAUCAGAAAGUUGGGGGUGAAAUCCCGGGGCUCAACCCCGGAACUGCCUCCAAAACUCCUGGUCUUGAGUUCGAGAGAGGUGAGUGGAAUUCCAAGUGUAGAGGUGAAAUUCGUAGAUAUUUGGAGGAACACCAGUGGCGAAGGCGGCUCACUGGCUCGAUACUGACGCUGAGGUACGAAAGUGUGGGGAGCAAACAGGAUUAGAUACCCUGGUAGUCCACACCGUAAACGAUGAAUGCCAGUCGUCGGGCAGUAUACUGUUCGGUGACACACCUAACGGAUUAAGCAUUCCGCCUGGGGAGUACGGUCGCAAGAUUAAAACUCAAAGGAAUUGACGGGGGCCCGCACAAG
rnacentral:rRNA from 1 species